UGAGGAAUAUUGGUCAAUGGGCGAGAGCCUGAACCAGCCAAGUCGCGUGAAGGAAGACUGCCUUAUGGGUUGUAAACUUCUUUUAUACAGGAAUAAAAAGGCUUACGUGUAGGCCAUUGCAAGUACUGUAUGAAUAAGCAUCGGCUAACUCCGUGCCAGCAGCCGCGGUAAUACGGAGGAUGCGAGCGUUAUCCGGAUUUAUUGGGUUUAAAGGGUGCGCAGGCGGGCUUUUAAGUCAGCGGUGAAAUCUGGACGCUUAACGUCCAAACUGCCAUUGAAACUGGGAGUCUUGAGUAUGGAUGAAGUAGGCGGAAUUCGUUGUGUAGCGGUGACAUGCAUAGAUAUAACGAGGAACUCCGAUUGCGUAGGCAGCUUACUAAGCCAUAACUGACGCUCAUGCACGAAAGCGUGGGGAUCAAACAGGAUUAGAUACCCUGGUAGUCCACGCCGUAAACGAUGAUUACUAGUUGUAUGCGAUAUGAUAGUAUGUGACUAAGCGAAAGCGAUAAGUAAUCCACCUGGGGAGUACGCCGGCAACGGUGAAACUCAAAUGAAUUGACGGGGUCAUAGCUG
rnacentral:rRNA from 1 species